UUGAAAACACACAAUUUUAAAAUUAGAAUUAGAAUUUACAUUAUUUUUCACAGAUUUCUGUUUAAAAAUUAACAAUAGGUUAUUUUUUACACUCAAUACUUUAAAAUAUGACUAAAAAGGUAGCAUUAUGCAUCUAAAAUGUGGAAAGAAGUCAGAGAAUAUUGUUUUUUCAUUUUAUAUGACUUAACAUUAUUUGCACCAGCUGACCGCAGUCAAUUAUAGUGUCUACAGACUUUGCGGUAAAGGGUGUUAAAGCUGAUUUUUCAAGAAUAGACUAAUUCUAGGUUUGCGAAUGAAUUUUUAGCACAAGCGACAACUGCGAUAAAAUGUAAACAAGUAAAAAUGUUUUCACAGAAUGAUAAUUUCUACAGACACAUGAUUUAUUUUAAUUUAUUCAGACCUCCAGUGAUACAUACAUUACUGCAUUGGAAGAACAGAAAUAAUGAAAUGAGUCAGAUCUGUCUAAUAAACUUAAUACAUAAGCUACAUUAGUAAAAUUCAUUAAGAAUUUAUCGAAGUAAGGAAGGUUAUGACCAAAAAAUCCUGAAAUACUGUCAAGGUCUGCAUGAUAAUACUUAUUCUGAGUUCUAACCAUGCAUCAUACAUGUAGUGCAGAAUGUCACUUAGCAGCAUGGCAUGCCUUUUGUGGUUCUAAGGACUUUAUUUAUGCUUUCGCAGCUGACAUUCAUGUUUUUUCAGUUUGUCGGAGACUGUUUUUUGUUAUUUUUUCAUUUAUAUGUAGGUGUUGACUGUCACUUUUGAAUUAAGUCUCAGUCAGUGAUGCUUAUAUGAGCAUGAUCUAUUAAGUAUAUCAUUGUACUGAAAUAUUAAUAAAUUCCAAAUUUAACUGAUGAAGAAAUUUGGCAUAUUUACAUAAUUGAAAUAUCAGAAUAACUAUAAUUCAGCUAAUAAGGUGCACAUUUCUUCUCAGAUCACUUCCUAUAAAUUUUAUCAGCAGUUUUUGUACACCCACCCACCUCAAAGAAUCAUGGAGGAUGUCCUGAAUCUGGUCUCUGUGAUGCAUUUUGUCUCAUAGAAAAGUGUUCAAACUCAUUAAAAUGUUUAAUAUUUAUAUUUUAAAAUUUAAAUGUUUAUUUUUUUAUGUAAAUUUGUUGAAACAAAAAGAUAUAAUCUUGCAUAAAUCAUGGAAAUUCAUUAAACACCUUUGGAAUUCCUGAAUAAAUCCAUGAAAAGAGAAUAAUUAUGCAUGUUAAAUUGAAAUUUCAUGGCUAAUUUGUGUCUUAAGAGAAAGCCAGUUGCAUAAAUCACAACAAUAAAUUACAUCUGAAUUGUUGUCUCCAGGUUCUUAUCAUCAAAGCCAGUUUAAUGGAGUGUGGGAGCUGUGAAGAACCUCCCUAGAUGCUGAUAUCAUUUUGACUGCCCUGAGUUACAACACAGCAUUUAGAUAAACUUCUGCACAGCAGCUUGUAGACACAUACCUAGGCUUUAUUUGGAACAUAAAUUGACCAGAUACAGUGUUCAUUAUCAACCCAGUAUUUAACAAUUUCUGUAUUUUUGUUCAUUCUUUGAAGGGGAAAAUGCAACUUUGUUAUGUAAUAAUUACAUAAUGGUCUUAGACUUGUAAACUCUUUUCUGUUUGUGGUGAAGAACAAAGCAUAUACUCUCCACGGAUAAAAAAUUGGUUGCCAAGCUUAUUCUUUUAAUGGUGAAAUUCUGCUUCAAAAGAUGCACAAAAAACUGCUUCCAGAGUGCUGUGUGUGUUGUUCUUGACUGCUCUGGAGUAAGGGAGAUAAAUGCUUCAUAUCUUCAGAAAUAAGGGGAUUUAGAUCACCAGACUUAGGGAUGUUGGGGACAAUUAUUUAAUGAAUCUCAGGUGCAAAAAUGGAAAAAAUCGAACACCUUCAAAGGUCCUUCAAGGUUCUUAUCAUCAAAGCCAGUUUAAUGGAGUGUGGGAGCUGUGAAGAACCUCCCUAGAUGCUGAUAUCAUUUUGACUGCCCUGAGUUACAACACAGCAUUUAGAUAAACUUCUGCACAGCAGCUUGUAGACACAUACCUAGGCUUUAUUUGGAACAUAAAUUGACCAGAUACAGUGUUCAUUAUCAACCCAGUAUUUAACAAUUUCUGUAUUUUUGUUCAUUCUUUGAAGGGGAAAAUGCAACUUUGUUAUGUAAUAAUUACAUAAUGGUCUUAGACUUGUAAACUCUUUUCUGUUUGUGGUGAAGAACAAAGCAUAUACUCUCCACGGAUAAAAAAUUGGUUGCCAAGCUUAUUCUUUUAAUGGUGAAAUUCUGCUUCAAAAGAUGCACAAAAAACUGCUUCCAGAGUGCUGUGUGUGUUGUUCUUGACUGCUCUGGAGUAAGGGAGAUAAAUGCUUCAUAUCUUCAGAAAUAAGGGGAUUUAGAUCACCAGACUUAGGGAUGUUGGGGACAAUUAUUUCAUGAAUCUCAGGUGCAAAAAUGGAAAAAAUCGAACACCUUCAAAGGUCCUUCAAGGUGAUUGUGAAAAAUCAUUUUAAUCCUUAUUAAAGACAUUUUUCAUUUUUAAAAGGCAUAUUUCAACAAAAUAUGUGAUUUUAUUAACUUUUUGUUUGAAAACACACAAUUUUAAAAUUAGAAUUAGAAUUUACAUUAUUUUUCACAGAUUUCUGUUUAAAAAUUAACAAUAGGUUAUAUUUUACACUCAAUACUUUAAAAUAUGACUAAAAAGGUAGCAUUAUGCAUCUAAAAUGUGGAAAGAAGUCAGAGAAUAUUGUUUUUUCAUUUUAUAUGACUUAACAUUAUUUGCACCAGCUGACCGCAGUCAAUUAUAGUGUCUACAGACUUUGCGGUAAAGGGUGUUAAAGCUGAUUUUUCAAGAAUAGACUAAUUCUAGGUUUGCGAAUGAAUUUUUAGCAUAAGCGACAACUGCGAUAAAAUGUAAACAAGUAAAAAUGUUUUCACAGAAUGAUAAUUUCUACAGACACAUGAUUUAUUUUAAUUUAUUCAGACCUCCAGUGAUACAUACAUUACUGCAUUGGAAGAACAGAAAUAAUGAAAUGAGUCAGAUCUGUCUAAUAAACUUAAUACAUAAGCUACAUUAGUAAAAUUCAUUAAGAAUUUAUCAAAGUAAGGAAGGUUAUGACCAAAAAAUCCUGAAAUACUGUCAAGGUCUGCAUGAUAAUACUUAUUCUGAGUUCUAACCAUGCAUCAUACAUGUAGUGCAGAAUGUCACUUAGCAGCAUGGCAUGCCUUUUGUGGUUCUAAGGACUUUAUUUAUGCUUUCGCAGCUGACAUUCAUGUUUUUUCAGUUUGUCGGAGACUGUUUUUUGUUAUUUUUUCAUUUAUAUGUAGGUGUUGACUGUCACUUUUGAAUUAAGUCUCAGUCAGUGAUGCUUAUAUGAGCAUGAUCUACUAAGUAUAUCAUUGUACUGAAAUAUUAAUAAAUUCCAAAUUUAACUGAUGAAGAAAUUUGGCAUAUUUACAUAAUUGAAAUAUCAGAAUAACUAUAAUUCAGCUAAUAAGGUGCACAUUUCUUCUCAGAUCACUUCCUAUAAAUUUUAUCAACAGUUUUGGUACACCCACCCACCUCAAAGAAUCAUGAAGGAUGUCCUGAAUCUGGUCUCUGUGAUGCAUUUUGUCUCAUAGAAAAGUGUUCAAACUCAUUAAAAUGUUUAAUAUUUAUAUUUUAAAAUCUAAAUGUUCAUUUUUUUAUGUAAAUUUGUUGAAACAAAAAGAUAUAAUCUUGCAUAAAUCAUGGAAAUUCAUUAAACACCUUUGGAAUUCCUGAAUAAAUCCAUGAAAAGAGAAUAAUUAUGCAUGUUAAAUUGAAAUUUCAUGGCUAAUUUGUGUCUUAAGAGAAAGCCAGUUGCAUAAAUCACAACAAUAAAUUACAUCUGAAUUGUUGUCUCCAGGUUCUUAUCAUCAAAGCCAGUUUAAUGGAGUGUGGGAGCUGUGAAGAACCUCCCUAGAUGCUGAUAUCAUUUUGACUGCCCUGAGUUACAACACAGCAUUUAGAUAAACUUCUGCACAGCAGCUUGUAGACACAUACCUAGGCUUUAUUUGGAACAUAAAUUGACCAGAUACAGUGUUCAUUAUCAACCCAGUAUUUAACAAUUUCUGUAUUUUUGUUCAUUCUUUGAAGGGGAAAAUGCAACUUUGUUAUGUAAUAAUUACAUAAUGGUCUUAGACUUGUAAACUCUUUUCUGUUUGUGGUGAAGAACAAAGCAUAUACUCUCCACGGAUAAAAAAUUGGUUGCCAAGCUUAUUCUUUUAAUGGUGAAAUUCUGCUUCAAAAGAUGCACAAAAAACUGCUUCCAGAGUGCUGUGUGUGUUGUUCUUGACUGCUCUGGAGUAAGGGAGAUAAAUGCUUCAUAUCUUCAGAAAUAAGGGGAUUUAGAUCACCAGACUUAGGGAUGUUGGGGACAAUUAUUUCAUGAAUCUCAGGUGCAAAAAUGGAAAAAAUCGAACACCUUCAAAGGUCCUUCAAGGUAUCACACCGGUAAUUGACCAAUCAAAAUGAACUUAGUCAAAUGUAGGUCCAUAUAUAUAGAAUUAAUUUUCUUUUCUUUUGAGGCGUUUUUCUAUUUUCUUCCAUGCCACUUUUACAACUUUGGUACCUGUGCCUAGUAAAUUUUAUGUACUUUGUGAAUAAAUAAAGGUUUUGGACAGGAACUAUUUUUUUCAUGGCAUAGGAGGCUACUUCCUGUAGUGCACUCGAGGUGUUUAUAAACACAGUGAAAACACGUGGAUUUGAGGGUAGCCCUGUUUGCAGAUGGAAAAAGUCCGAAAAUGCCGUGUGGGUACCCUGUUUUUUGGUGUCAGCUAAUGUGACAGGAGGCUACUUCCUGUAGUGCACUCGAGGUGUUUAUAAACACAGUGAAAACACGUGGAUUUGAGGGUAGCCCUGUUUGCAGAUGGAAAAAGUCCGAAAAUGCCGUGUGGGUACCCUGUUUUUUGGUGUCAGCUAAUGUGACAGAUCACUUCCUAUAAAUUUUAUCAACAGUUUUGGUACACCCACCCACCUCAAAGAAUCAUGGAGGAUGUCCUGAAUCUGGUCUCUGUGAUGCAUUUUGUCUCAUAGAAAAGUGUUCAAACUCAUUAAAAUGUUUAAUAUUUAUAUUUUAAAAUCUAAAUGUUCAUUUUUUUAUGUAAAUUUGUUGAAACAAAAAGAUAUAAUCUUGCAUAAAUCAUGGAAAUUCAUUAAACACCUUUGGAAUUCCUGAAUAAAUCCAUGAAAAGAGAAUAAUUAUGCAUGUUAAAUUGAAAUUUCAUGGCUAAUUUGUGUCUUAAGAGAAAGCCAGUUGCAUAAAUCACAACAAUAAAUUACAUCUGAAUUGUUGUCUCCAGGUUCUUAUCAUCAAAGCCAGUUUAAUGGAGUGUGGGAGCUGUGAAGAACCUCCCUAGAUGCUGAUAUCAUUUUGACUGCCCUGAGUUACAACACAGCAUUUAGAUAAACUUCUGCACAGCAGCUUGUAGACACAUACCUAGGCUUUAUUUGGAACAUAAAUUGACCAGAUACAGUGUUCAUUAUCAACCCAGUAUUUAACAAUUUCUGUAUUUUUGUUCAUUCUUUGAAGGGGAAAAUGCAACUUUGUUAUGUAAUAAUUACAUAAUGGUCUUAGACUUGUAAACUCUUUUCUGUUUGUGGUGAAGAACAAAGCAUAUACUCUCCACGGAUAAAAAAUUGGUUGCCAAGCUUAUUCUUUUAAUGGUGAAAUUCUGCUUCAAAAGAUGCACAAAAAACUGCUUCCAGAGUGCUGUGUGUGUUGUUCUUGACUGCUCUGGAGUAAGGGAGAUAAAUGCUUCAUAUCUUCAGAAAUAAGGGGAUUUAGAUCACCAGACUUAGGGAUGUUGGGGACAAUUAUUUCAUGAAUCUCAGGUGCAAAAAUGGAAAAAAUCGAACACCUUCAAAGGUCCUUCAAGGUAUCACACCGGUAAUUGACCAAUCAAAAUGAACUUAGUCAAAUGUAGGUCCAUAUAUAUAGAAUUAAUUUUCUUUUCUUUUGAGGCGUUUUUCUAUUUUCUUCCAUGCCACUUUUACAACUUUGGUACCUGUGCCUAGUAAAUUUUAUGUACUUUGUGAAUAAAUAAAGGUUUUGGACAGGAACUAUUUUUUUCAUGGCAUAGGAGGCUACUUCCUGUAGUGCACUCGAGGUGUUUAUAAACACAGUGAAAACACGUGGAUUUGAGGGUAGCCCUGUUUGCAGAUGGAAAAAGUCCGAAAAUGCCGUGUGGGUACCCUGUUUUUUGGUGUCAGCUAAUGUGACAGGAGGCUACUUCCUGUAGUGCACUCGAGGUGUUUAUAAACACAGUGAAAACACGUGGAUUUGAGGGUAGCCCUGUUUGCAGAUGGAAAAAGUCCGAAAAUGCCGUGUGGGUACCCUGUUUUUUGGUGUCAGCUAAUGUGACAGUUUUGGUACACCCACCCACCUCAAAGAAUCAUGGAGGAUGUCCUGAAUCUGGUCUCUGUGAUGCAUUUUGUCUCAUAGAAAAGUGUUCAAACUCAUUAAAAUGUUUAAUAUUUAUAUUUUAAAAUCUAAAUGUUCAUUUUUUUAUGUAAAUUUGUUGAAACAAAAAGAUAUAAUCUUGCAUAAAUCAUGGAAAUUCAUUAAACACCUUUGGAAUUCCUGAAUAAAUCCAUGAAAAGAGAAUAAUUAUGCAUGUUAAAUUGAAAUUUCAUGGCUAAUUUGUGUCUUAAGAGAAAGCCAGUUGCAUAAAUCACAACAAUAAAUUACAUCUGAAUUGUUGUCUCCAGGUUCUUAUCAUCAAAGCCAGUUUAAUGGAGUGUGGGAGCUGUGAAGAACCUCCCUAGAUGCUGAUAUCAUUUUGACUGCCCUGAGUUACAACACAGCAUUUAGAUAAACUUCUGCACAGCAGCUUGUAGACACAUACCUAGGCUUUAUUUGGAACAUAAAUUGACCAGAUACAGUGUUCAUUAUCAACCCAGUAUUUAACAAUUUCUGUAUUUUUGUUCAUUCUUUGAAGGGGAAAAUGCAACUUUGUUAUGUAAUAAUUACAUAAUGGUCUUAGACUUGUAAACUCUUUUCUGUUUGUGGUGAAGAACAAAGCAUAUACUCUCCACAGAUAAAAAAUUGGUUGCCAAGCUUAUUCUUUUAAUGAUGAAAUUCUGCUUCAAAAGAUGCACAAAAAACUGCUUCCAGAGUGCUGUGUGUGUUGUUCUUGACUGCUCUGGAGUAAGGGAGAUAAAUGCUUCAUAUCUUCAGAAAU